UACGUAGGUGGCAAGCGUUGUCCGGAAUUAUUGGGCGUAAAGCGCGCGCAGGCGGCUUCUUAAGUCUGAUGUGAAAUCUCGGGGCUCAAACCCCGAGCGGCCAUUGGAAACUGGGAAGCUUGAGUACAGAAGAGGAGAGUGGAAUUCCACGUGUAGCGGUGAAAAUGCGUAGAUAUGUGGAGGAACACCAGUGGCGAAGGCGACUCUCUGGUCUGUAACUGACGUGAGGCGCGAAAAGCGUGGGGGAGCAAACAGG
rnacentral:rRNA from 1 species